GUUCAGGGGUAAACCUGCGAAACUCGAAUGAACGAACGGAGAGAUUCAUCGUCAAUCCUCGGCGUGCGUGCGCGUGCCUCGAUGGUGCCGACCUCGGUCGGCGGCCACGGGUCGCGUACGUAUACGUACGGGGACGGCGUGCACUUCUCUCUUAGUAAUGCAUCGCGACCCGUUCGAUGUCGGCCUGAGCGCCGUCCGGGAGCCCUGGUGCCCUUUCGAGGGCGCCAGGACCGCGGCGGUGGCCGGCCGGCCGUCGGACGGUAGUGUACGUGAAUCGCGCACGCGUCUAUACGCGUCAGGCCCGACGCAAGGCAACGCCGACGCUGGGGUCCUGCCUUUCGGCGGACUCCGGUGCGGCGCGCCUGUCGUCGCAGCCGUGCAGUCUCUGACAGUGCGCGUCUCUGUCUGCGAUGAUUCAGUUUCGGGCACUCGCAGGACCCGUCUUGAAACACGGACCAAGGAGUCUAGCAUGUGUGCGAGUCAUUGAGAUUACAAAAACUGAAAGGCGCAACGAAAGUGAAGGCGUGCGCUAGUCGCGCGCUCAGGGAGGAUGGAGCGUCGGUCUAUAUCGGCCUCUCGCACUCCCGAGGCGUCUCGUUUCCAAUCUGUGAAUGCAGGCGCGCUCUGAGCACAGAUGCUGGGACCCGAAAGAUG
rnacentral:rRNA from 1 species